AGUGGGUAAAAAUGGAUUUUAAUAACCCAUAGAUUUUCUUCAUGGAGAAGAGCAUUGAGACUUACAAGAUCUACAUCUUCAAAGUUCUCAAGCAAGUUCAUCUUGAUAUUGGAAUUUCCAGCAAAGCCAGGGGAUUAUGAAUAGUUUCAUCAACGACAUUUUCGAGAAACUUGCUCAGGAAUUCUCUGAGCUCGCUUGCUACAACAAGAAGCCGACUAUCACCUCUCGAGAGAUCCAAACAACGGUGCGCCUUGUUCUUCCUGGGAAUUUAAUGUUAACAAUCUAGACUGGCUGCUGUCAGCAAAGAAAAAGAGCAACUGAAGUCAAGAGGAAGUGCUGUAACUACUCAAAUUCAGAAGCUAGGAGCAUUUUAUCCUGCUGAGGCUGAACAUGAAGUUAAUAUCAUUUAUUAAUGUAAUCCUUUGAAGCACUUAUCUGCAGAAAUUUUAGCUUAUAAGAUAUCCUGCUUCUUGACAUGCAACUCACCUAGAAACGAUACAAGUUAGAUUGGAUGAUUAUAAAAGUUUAGAAUCACCAUUAUAAAGAGUUGUGAAUUAGGUGUUGAUGGUUGUUUGUUUUCAUGUUCAAUGAUUAAACAUGAAAACAAACAACCAUGUGACUUGAAACUUCCUUUAUUCUACAUCUAUUAGUUUUCCUCUUUUCUUAUUGAAGCA